rnacentral:rRNA from 1 species
GGGUUGUGAGGUUAAGCGACUAAGCGUACACGGUGGAUGCCCUGGCAGUCAGAGGCGAUGAAGGACGUGCUAAUCUGCGAAAAGCGUCGGUAAGGUGAUAUGAACCGUUAUAACCGGCGAUGUCCGAAUGGGGAAACCCAGUGCAAUUCGUUGCACUAUCGUUAACUGAAUACAUAGGUUAACGAGGCGAACCGGGGGAACUGAAACAUCUAAGUACCCCGAGGAAAAGAAAUCAACCGAGAUUCCCCCAGUAGCGGCGAGCGAACGGGGAGCAGCCCAGAGUCUGAAUCAGCUUGUGUGUUAGUGGAACGGUCUGGAAAGUCCGACGGUACAGGGUGAUAGUCCCGUACACCAAAAUGCACAGGUUGUGAACUCGAAGAGUAGGGCGGGACACGUGGUAUCCUGUCUGAAUAUGGGGGGACCAUCCUCCAAGGCUAAAUACUCCUGACUGACCGAUAGUGAACCAGUACCGUGAGGGAAAGGCGAAAAGAACCCCGGCGAGGGGAGUGAAAAAGAACCUGAAACCGUGUACGUACAAGCAGUGGGAGCACCUUCGGGUGUGACUGCGUACCUUUUGUAUAAUGGGUCAGCGACUUAUAUUCUGUAGCAAGGUUAACCGUAUAGGGGAGCCGCAGGGAAACCGAGUCUUAACUGGGCGUUAAGUUGCAGGGUAUAGACCCGAAACCCGGUGAUCUAGCCAUGGGCAGGUUGAAGGUUGGGUAACACUAACUGGAGGACCGAACCGACUAAUGUUGAAAAAUUAGCGGAUGACUUGUGGCUGGGGGUGAAAGGCCAAUCAAACCGGGAGAUAGCUGGUUCUCCCCGAAAGCUAUUUAGGUAGCGCCUCGUGAAUUCAUCUUCGGGGGUAGAGCACUGUUUCGGCUAGGGGGUCAUCCCGACUUACCAACCCGAUGCAAACUACGAAUACCGAAGAAUGUUAUCACGGGAGACACACGGCGGGUGCUAACGUCCGUCGUGAAGAGGGAAACAACCCAGACCGCCAGCUAAGGUCCCAAAGUCAUGGUUAAGUGGGAAACGAUGUGGGAAGGCACAGACAGCCAGGAUGUUGGCUUAGAAGCAGCCAUCAUUUAAAGAAAGCGUAAUAGCUCACUGGUCGAGUCGGCCUGCGCGGAAGAUGUAACGGGGCUAAACCAUGCACCGAAGCUGCGGCAGCGACACUAUGUGUUGUUGGGUAGGGGAGCGUUCUGUAAGCCUGCGAAGGUGUGCUGUGAGGCAUGCUGGAGGUAUCAGAAGUGCGAAUGCUGACAUAAGUAACGAUAAAGCGGGUGAAAAGCCCGCUCGCCGGAAGACCAAGGGUUCCUGUCCAACGUUAAUCGGGGCAGGGUGAGUCGACCCCUAAGGCGAGGCCGAAAGGCGUAGUCGAUGGGAAACAGGUUAAUAUUCCUGUACUUGGUGUUACUGCGAAGGGGGACGGAGAAGGCUAUGUUAGCCGGGCGACGGUUGUCCCGGUUUAAGCAUGUAGGCUGGUUAUCCAGGCAAAUCCGGAUAAUCAAGGCUGAGGUGUGAUGACGAGGCACUACGGUGCUGAAGUAACAAAUGCCCUGCUUCCAGGAAAAGCCUCUAAGCAUCAGGUAACAUCAAAUCGUACCCCAAACCGACACAGGUGGUCAGGUAGAGAAUACCAAGGCGCUUGAGAGAACUCGGGUGAAGGAACUAGGCAAAAUGGUGCCGUAACUUCGGGAGAAGGCACGCUGGUGUGUAGGUGAAGCCCCUGCGGGUGGAGCUGAGACCAGUCGAAGAUACCAGCUGGCUGCAACUGUUUAUUAAAAACACAGCACUGUGCAAACACGAAAGUGGACGUAUACGGUGUGACGCCUGCCCGGUGCCGGAAGGUUAAUUGAUGGGGUUAUCCGUAAGGAGAAGCUCUUGAUCGAAGCCCCGGUAAACGGCGGCCGUAACUAUAACGGUCCUAAGGUAGCGAAAUUCCUUGUCGGGUAAGUUCCGACCUGCACGAAUGGCGUAAUGAUGGCCAGGCUGUCUCCACCCGAGACUCAGUGAAAUUGAACUCGCUGUGAAGAUGCAGUGUACCCGCGGCAAGACGGAAAGACCCCGUGAACCUUUACUAUAGCUUGACACUGAACAUUGAGCCUUGAUGUGUAGGAUAGGUGGGAGGCUUUGAAGCGUGGACGCCAGUCUGCGUGGAGCCAACCUUGAAAUACCACCCUUUAAUGUUUGAUGUUCUAACGUUGGCCCCUUACCGGGGUUGCGGACAGUGUCUGGUGGGUAGUUUGACUGGGGCGGUCUCCUCCUAAAGCGUAACGGAGGAGCACGAAGGUUAGCUAAUCCUGGUCGGACAUCAGGAGGUUAGUGCAAUGGCAUAAGCUAGCUUGACUGCGAGCGUGACGGCGCGAGCAGGUGCGAAAGCAGGUCAUAGUGAUCCGGUGGUUCUGAAUGGAAGGGCCAUCGCUCAACGGAUAAAAGGUACUCCGGGGAUAACAGGCUGAUACCGCCCAAGAGUUCAUAUCGACGGCGGUGUUUGGCACCUCGAUGUCGGCUCAUCACAUCCUGGGGCUGAAGUAGGUCCCAAGGGUAUGGCUGUUCGCCAUUUAAAGUGGUACGCGAGCUGGGUUUAGAACGUCGUGAGACAGUUCGGUCCUAUCUGCCGUGGGCGCUGGAGAAUUGAUGGGGGCUGCUCCUAGUACGAGAGGACCGGAGUGGACGCAUCACUGGUGUUCGGGUUGUCAUGCCAAUGGCACUGCCCGGUAGCUAAAUGCGGAAGAGAUAAGUGCUGAAAGCAUCUAAGCACGAAACUUGCCCCGAGAUGAGUUCUCCCUGAGACUUUAAGUCUCCUGAAGGAACGUUGAAGACGACGACGUUGAUAGGCCGGGUGUGUAAGCGCAGCGAUGCGUUGAGCUAACCGGUACUAAUGAACCGUGAGGCUUAACCUUACAACGCCGAAG